UAAAGCGAUAAUCACCUGUGAACAAGCUGGAAAUCAAACUCCGCUUCCUCACUCAAAAUCCUUUAGGCCAGUUCACCGGUGACAUAAGCUGGGUGUGCUGGCAAAGCCUUCCCCUUGGUUCUCUCUGUUGCUCAAUCCAAAGACCGUCGUGCUAUGAGGUUGAGUAAUACCUGUUAUUCAGCAUCAGAAGAGUAGGGAAAAUGAGCCCAAUUAAUUUGAAGUAGAACAGGUGCAGAAUCUUAGCUGGAGUUUAGCUUGACAAGAGAUACUGUUAAGGGUAAGAAAAAAGACCCCUAAACACUACAGGGACAGCUGUAAGAAUCUACAGCUGCCCAAAAAUCCCAAAACAUGAAACCAAGAAGUUCAGAGUUAACUUGAAAAUUAAGUCCACUGUUUAUAAAAUAUUUAAAUUGCCCAAUUAAACUGCUCAGAUAACUUGAACUUUCCCCCUCUGUCCUCCAGAUUUCUGUUUGCUCCUCACAGAUGUAAAGUCUGGUUGUAGAAAUCUCUGUGCAAUUACCGAGUUGCUACAAUCCAGUAUAAAUUGUGUUAAUCGAGGGCUUUUUUGCAAGAACUUAACAAAGGUAUCUUCUGAAGCCAGAAAGGGAGAGGAGUCCACUCAGGAGCCCACAUCGAACUCUGAAAGUAGGAAGAACUGAAAACAGGAUGCCAGCGACACAUUUAUGAAAGGGGGUAAAGUGAGACCUUAACUGGGCAGAGAAUCAUGUUGACAGUGGAAGGAGAAAGAAAGUUUGGGGCAUGUCCUAGGGCACGGCUCGCUUCACAGUGACCAUUUCCGGCCAUCAGAAAGCAAUAAUGCACCAACUUUGCAUGGCAGGGAAGAAGCAACCAACAAAAUAUCCUCUGCGUGGCAUUGACCAACACAGGAGAAACUUAUAACAACCUGCUUAUUCAGCU